GACAGAGGGUGCAAACGUUGCUCGGAAUCACUGGGCGUAAAGGGCGCGUAGGCGGAGAUGUAAGUCGGGGCGUGAAAUCCCCCAGGCUCAACCUGGGAACUGCACUCGAAACUGCGUUUCUUGAGUAUCGGAGAGGAAAGCGGAAUUCCUGGUGUAGAGGUGAAAUUCGUAGAUAUCAGGAGGAACACCAGUGGCGAAGGCGGCUUUCUGGACGAUAA
rnacentral:rRNA from 1 species